AGUGCGCUUGUGUAAUGUGGGUUCAUAGUAGGUGCAAGAAUUACAAAACAAGCUGUCCUAUUUUUGGAAGGCUUUGAAACGCUCCCUCUCAGUGCAGUUCAAACGGAUCUAAAAAUGUCUGCUGUGUGAAACGGCAACUGGAUGGCUUAUCUGUCACUGCGCGCUAUUGUCUCUUGCAAGGCAUUUUCACCAGUCAAAUGCUUGCUAUUUCCAGUCUAGACUAGAAAAAGAAGCGGCUAAUGUUUGCGUGUGUACUUGGAGAGGUGAUGGGCGGGUCGUAGCCAAGCUCCAGACUCUGCAGUGUCACUGCUGUAAUGGAGCUGAUUGAUCACCUAUACGGUCGCCUGCUGGCCCCCGCCGGCUUUAGUGCAGAGCAAGUCGCAUCGCAACCCCCCUCCCUCCCUCCCUCCCUUUCUGCGCCACCGCCGCUAUCGGCGAGCCAAUCUGGGAAGCAUCCCCCCUCCUAUAGACUUCAACCUGGCCACGGUUUUGACAUUGGCUGCAGGAUUUACUUGUCCGCCUCUUCUGCACUUGGCCCGCCGUCCGUUUUUCUGCAGUUUCCGCACACAAGCGCGGCUCCAUUUUGUCGGCCAUUUUCUCAUUUGAGUAUCAUCAAGGCGCUGUUGUUUUCCGUUCUUAUUUAAGGGCAUAAUCAAUCAACGAUAACAUUUGCAGCAGAUCGCAUUCCCUGCCCCCUCGAUGUCACGGGGGGUCAUAGCCCAAAUCUAUCAAGGGUAUUGAAAGCAAUUCAAGUCAGAGACUCGGACAAGCUGUCGAGGGCAGAUGUCAUUUGAAAUGUGAGCGUUUUUAACAUAAUAUACAUUCAUUUAUAUGAGUAUAUCAAUGAUAUUUGUUCAUACAGGAGAUUGCAGCGCUCCAUUUUGCUUUGUCCACAAUGCAAUAUGUGUGUGACUAUCUCAAAGUGCUCUGCCACUUCUGUCACAUGUGUUUUCUCAGAUGACAGUUUGCUCUCAAUUAUAUACGCAAUAUCUGCUUAAUAGUGUUUGUGCGUGAUAGAUAAGGCUUGGUGGUACCAGACCAUGCAAUUCCCUAAGUGUGCCCCCCCCGGGCAGACAGUUUUGCUGCAGUAUGUGUUUGUCUGAACACGGCUGGAAAAGAGAAGAAAUUGAUCAGCGUAGGGUGGAACGUGUUCACCAGCAAAGGCUGGGUGUGUGUGUGUUUGUGUGUAAGAGAGAGAGGGAGCGAGAGAAAGAGCAAGGGCUGUCGCUGCAGACUCCUGCUGCAGUAGCUCACUUUGGGCAAGCAGCUGCAGACAGCAGAGACAAGCAGACAGGUUUUGUUGUUUGGUGAAACCGCAUGUGUUUAGUGGAUCUCUUAUCGCAGCAGGGUGGAAUGAGGAGGAAGAGGAAGAAGUAUGCUUCAUAGCAGUGCCGCGUCGAGAAAGAAGAGGGGGCGCUUUUGGGGGGGAGUGUCUGAAUUUCCAGACACUGCGGCAGGAGGCCAGACAGUCACCUGAACACACACACACACGCUGAUGCACCUGUGCGACAACAUUCAGACAUUUUACGAGCAGCUCCGCCUCUUAAGCCAAUUUUGUUUGCAAUUCAAUAAAGAUUAUAAAUGGUAGCCCCCUGUAAUUGUAUUGGCUAAAUGCAUCCAAGACAAAGUUCCUCCCUUUUGCUCUGGGUGAUUAAUUUCAUUCGAUUCUUCUUAGAUUACAGUAAGCAGUGUUUAAAGUGAAAGGACAGUUGAGAGAUGAAGUCGAGGACUCUCACUAGUAAGAUAAAUAGAGAAGACCCUGUGCCUUCUGAGCCACUUGUCUCAGCAUGGAUGCUCUCAAGGUGGAUUUCUUGGGUGUGCAAUUCCCCCCUUGGUCCUGCGGGCCCUGCUGCCUCCCUCCCUCCCUCCCUCCCCUUCUUCUCUCAUCAAGCCCAUCUGUGAUUUACCUGAGAGGCGUUGCCAGGGAAACUUGGUAUCGGGCUUGCGGCUUGAUGGACUUAUUGAACCGUAACGGGCUGGGAUAAUUGUCCUCUGUCUUCUAGGUUGGCUAUCCUGUGACUGAGACUCGAAUGUGACCUACAACUGCCGUGGCAUUGUUGCUAUGGGAGAAAAAAUGUAACCCAUUUGCCAGCAGAUAGACAUUAUUUAUUUCAUACAGAUUCUCAUGUGCAUGAUACAAUUGAAUCCCUCCAACGAGUGUGGAUGAAAGAUGGUCAUGACCGUAAAAUUAUUUCUGUGUUGUCAACUGUGUCCAGUAAAGAGGUGGACUCCAAGAAUUGAAAAAACUUAACAAAAUAUUUUAAAAAAGGAAAAAAAAAUCUGUCACUGCAAA